UCCGGUUUGGCACCGGCAGUCUCCGAUGAGUCCCCGACAUAACUCGCUGGCAACAUCGGACAAGGGUUGCGCUCGUUGCGCCACUUAAGGCACCACCUGUAUACGGCCCCGAAGGACACCACAUCUCUGUGGCUUUUCCGUACAUUUCAAGCCCUGGUAAGGUUCUUCGCGUUGCGUCGAAUUAAGCCACAUGCUCCGCCGCUUGUGCGGGCCCCCGUCAAUUCCUUUGAGUUUUAACCUUGCGGUCGUAAUCCCCAGGCGGGGUGCUUAAUGCGUUAGCUACGGCACGGAGGGAGUGGAUAACCCCCCACACCUAGCACCCAUCGUUUACGGCGUGGACUAC
rnacentral:misc_RNA from 1 species